GGGGUCGUAGCUCAAAUGG
rnacentral:misc_RNA from 1 species